rnacentral:rRNA from 1 species
GAUCCUGGCUCAGAACGAAUGCUGGCGGCGUGGAUAAGACAUGCAAGUCGAACGGAAUAUUUCUGUAGUAAUAUGGAAAUAUUUAGUGGCAAACGGGUGAGUAACACGUGAGAACCACCCCCAGAGCGGAAGAUAGCCAGCCGAAAGGUUGGGUAAUACUCCAUAAUCCCGAAAGGGCAAAGUCGUAAGACACUCAGGGACGGGCUCGCGCUCCAUCAGCUAGUUGGUAGGGUAAUGGCCUACCAAGGCUUUGACGGAUAACUGAUCUGAGAGGAUGAUCAGUCACACUGGAACUGCGACACGGUCCAGACACCUACGGGUGGCAGCAGUCGAGAAUCAUUCACAAUGGGCGAAAGCCUGAUGAUGCGACGCCGCGUGGAGGAUGAAGGCCCUCGGGUCGUAAACUCCUGUCGCCAUAGAGCAAAGCAGCGUAAGCUGCCUGAUAUUAUAUGGAAAGGAAGGGACGGCAAACUCUGUGCCAGCAGCCGCGGUAAUACAGAGGUCCCAAGCAUUGUUCGGAUUCACUGGGCGUAAAGGGUGUGUAGGAGGCAAGGCAAGUCUGGCGUGAAAUUUCGGCAUCCAAUGUCGAAACUGCUCUGGAUACUGCUUUGCUCGAGUGCCGGAGAGGAGAACGGAAUUCCUGGUGUAGCAGUGAAAUGCAUAGAUAUCAGGAGGAACGCCGAAGGCGAAAGCAGUUCUCUGGAAGGUUACUGACUCUGAAACACGAAAGGCCAGGGGAGCAAACGGGAUUAGAUACCCCGGUAGUCCUGGCAGUAAACGUUGCGCGCUAGAUGUUGGCGGAUUCGACCCCGCCAGUGUCGCAGCAAACGCGUUAAAGCGCGCCGCCUGAGAAGUACGAUCGCAAGAUUAAAACUCAAAGAAAUUGACGGGGGCCCGCACAAGCGGUGGAGUAUGUGGCUUAAUUCGAUGCAACGCGAAGAACCUUACCUGGCCUUGACAUGCUUAGUUCAUUCAUGGAAACAUGAUGUCCCGCAAGGGAGAUUUGCACAGGUGCUGCAUGGCUGUCGUCAGCUCGUGUCGUGAGAUGUUGGGUUAAGUCCCGCAACGAGCGCAACCCUUAUGUCCUGUUAAAUUAACUCUGGACAGACUGCCCUGCUAUAACGGGGAGGAAGGUGAGGAUGACGUCAAGUCAGGAUGGCCCUUACGGCCAGGGCUGCACACGUACUACAAUGCCUGAUACAAUGGGCGGCAAGACCGCGAGGUGGAGCUAAUCCCCAAAAUCAGGCCCAGUUCGGAUCGCAGGCUGCAACUCGCCUGCGUGAAGCCGGAAUCGCUAGUAAUGGCGCAUCAGCUACGGCGCCGUGAAUACGUUCCCGGGCCUUGUA